AGGGAAUCUUCGGCAAUGGGGGCAACCCUGACCGAGCAACGCCGCGUGAGUGAAGAAGGUUUUCGGAUCGUAAAGCUCUGUUGUAAGUCAAGAACGGGUGUGAGAGUGGAAAGUUCACACUGUGACGGUAGCUUACCAGAAAGGGACGGCUAACUACGUGCCAGCAGCCGCGGUAAUACGUAGGUCCCGAGCGUUGUCCGGAUUUAUUGGGCGUAAAGCGAGCGCAGGCGGUUUGAUAAGUCUGAAGUUAAAGGCUGUGGCUCAACCAUAGUUCGCUUUGGAAACUGUCAAACUUGAGUGCAGAAGGGGAGAGUGGA
rnacentral:rRNA from 1 species